rnacentral:rRNA from 1 species
CCCUCUGGGCUCCUUGGUGAUUCAUAAUAACUUAACGAAUCGCAUGGCCUUGCGCCGGCGAUGGUUCAUUCAAAUUUCUGCCCUAUCAAUUUUCGAUGGUAGAGUAGUGGUCUACCAUGAUCUUAACGGGUAACGGGGAAUUAGGGUUCUAUUCCGGAGAAGGAGCCUGAGAAACGGCUACUACAUCCAAGGAAGGCAGCAGGCGCGCAAAUUACCCAAUGCUAAUUCAGCGAGGUAGUGACAAUAAAUACUGAUACGGGGCUCUUUCGGGUCUCGUAAUUGGAAUGAGUACAAUCUAAAUCCCUUAACGAGGAACAAUUGGAGGGCAAGUCUGGUGCCAGCAGCCGCGGUAAUUCCAGCUCCAAUAGCGUAUAUUAAAGUUGUUGCCGUUAAAAAGCUCGUAGUUGAACCUUGGACCUGGCUGAUCUGUCCUCCUAAUCGAGCGCACGGAUUCGGUCGGGUCUUUCCUUCUGGGGAGCCCUAUGCCCUUCACUGGGUGUAGUGGGGAACCAGGACUUUUACCUUGAAAAAAUUAGAGUGUUCAAAGCAGGCCUUUGCUCGAAUACAUUAGCAUGGAAUAAUAGAAUAGGACAUCGGUUCUAUUUUGUUGGUUUCUAGGACCGCUGUAAUGAUUAAUAGGGAUAGUCGGGGGCGUCAGUAUUCAAUUGUCAGAGGUGAAAUUCUUGGAUUUAUUGAAGACUAACUACUGCGAAAGCAUUCGCCAAGGAUGUUUUCAUUAAUCAGUGAACGAAAGUUAGGGGAUCGAAGACGAUCAGAUACCGUCGUAGUCUUAACCAUAAACUAUGCCGACUAGGGAUCGGACGGUGGUUUUUUUAUGCCCCGUUCGGCACCUUACGAGAAAUCAAAGUUUUUGGGCUCGGGGGGGAGUAUGGUCGCAAGGCUGAAACUUAAAGAAAUUGACGGAAGGGCACCACCAGGCGUGGAGCCUGCGGCUUAAUUUGACUCAACACGGGGAAACUCACCAGGUCCAGACAUGCUUAGGAUUGACAGAUUGAUAGCUCUUUCUUGAUUGUAUGGGUGGUGGUGCAUGGCCGUUCUUAGUUGGUGGAGUGAUUUGUCUGCUUAAUUGCGAUAACGAACGAGACCUUGACCUGCUAAAUAGCCAGGUUGACUUUUGUCGGCCGCCGGCUUCUUAGAGGGACUUUUGGCUCAAGCCAAUGGAAGUACGAGGCAAUAACAGGUUAACCUUUGGAGUUACAUUCCAUCACAGGCCUGUAAGAGUGAACCUCGAUAAAAAAUCACUAGUCAAGCAUCAUUCCUCUUGGUGGAAGUUCCACCUAUAGUCGGGAGAGGAGCAGCCGUUCAGCGGUUGUCGAUGCUGGCGAGACAACCUGGUUCAGGGGACGCUUCUCCAUACUCUUCGGUGUGGAUGCCAAUCCUGAGGCGAGCCAAAGUAGCGUUUGGCCGUCGCAACGCGCGCAAAGGUGUCGGCCCUACGCUCGAGAGAGCUGGGGUUUGAGGUACGUGCUAAUUCCCUAGGAAACUAGGCUUCAGUAUGUGAGGUCCGACGCAUGCCAAACUACUGGAGGGUUCCAAGUCUCUUGGAACUGAAGAGGGUCUCUCGGAGACCCCCUAUAUGCUGUGAUGCCCUUAGAUGUCCUGGGCUGCACGCGCGCUACACUGACAGAGCCAGCGAGUACAUCACCUUGGCCGAAAGGUCUGGGUAAUCUUGUUAAACUCUGUCGUGCUGGGGAUAGAGCAUUGCAAUUAUUGCUCUUCAACGAGGAAUGCCUAGUAAGCGCAAGUCAUCAGCUUG